UUUGUUUCCUGCGGAAAAAUACUACAAGCUUUGUGUGAAUGUGGUAAAUGAAGAGAACUCUCGGUACUUUACGUGUCACUGGUUUGUCAUUUCAAAGUGAAAAGAACCUCUGUUGUUUUGCAGUGUUGUUACUCCUUCUUGAGAAUCCUCUCAAAACCACUUCAAAUCAGAAAAGAACAUACGUUGACCCUAUAACCGGCUACAAUGUGUUUACUGAGUUUGCCCAUAGGAAAAGAGGAAGAUGUUGCGGGACUGCCUGCAGACAUUGUCCGUACGGGCAAAUUAAUGUGGAGGAUCCUUCUAAGAAGAAAACGUUCAACUCUUUGUUUUAUGUAUAGCUGUAAAUGUUAAGAUGGGCUGAACAACUC